rnacentral:rRNA from 1 species
AAAACGACUCUCGGCAACGGAUAUCUCGGCUCUCGCAUCGAUGAAGAACGUAGCGAACGGCGAUACUUGGUGUGAAUUGCAGAAUCCCGUGAACCAUCGAGUCUUUGAACGCAAGUUGCGCCCGAAGCCAUUAGGCCGAGGGCACGUCUGCCUGGGCGUCACGC